UACAGAGGUCUCAACCGUUGUUCGGAUUCAUUGGGCGUAAGGGGUGCGUAGGCGGUCGCGCAAGUCGGAUGUGAAAUCUUAGGGCUCAACCCUGAAACUGCAUUCGAUACUGCGUGGCUCGAGUACUGGAGAGGAGACUGGAAUUUACGGUGUAGCAGUGAAAUGCGUAGAUAUCGUAAGGAAGACCAGUGGCGAAGGCGAGUCUCUGGACAGUUACUGACGCUGAGGCACGAAGGCCAGGGGAGCAAACGGG
rnacentral:rRNA from 1 species